ACGUGAAUUGGCGGCUCUAACGACAUCGUAGCGAUUCACGGUUGCAUAGUGUUACUAGAAGGGUAAGAGGCUGAAAUAGCACAUAUACAGGUGGCGAAGAUAGUGCCUGUGCCUCGCAAGACUGUCGGGU
rnacentral:sRNA from 12 species